GGCAAGCUGAAUUUUUCGGAACUUUUUCUUGUCAGCAAAAAAGAAGAAAUAAAGAAGAAAAACAAAGCAGGGAUUUGUGCUGAUCCUGCACCACGAUCAUUGCCAAAUUUCCUGUAAAAGCUCAAGAAGAGGAAAUGAAAUAUGAAUGUGAAGUGAAAAAAACUUGUAGCACUUUAAAAAUCAUGGCAAUAAAGUUGCAGAACAUUCUCUCCAACACAGCGAGCUGGCAUUCAGAAGGAGAGACAGACCAGAAAACUAAAUGCCUCUCCCUGGGAGAGGCUACCAACACCCACCCAGUCUGGCUGAGUGUUCUCCACCGCCUUCAACACUGCCGUGAGAAGCCCAGGGCUGGAAGAGAACAUCUACGCUUUGGUAUUAUUCCCAUACUCAGCUGAAUGUUGUGUUCAGAAGGCUUAUCAGGUUAUCUUGAGGAGUACGGAUUUCUCCAGAGUGUCACUCAGGUGAUUCUGGAAAAGAUAAAAAAGUAAGGAAUUUUUAGCUGUACAAAUGGCUAAUAGGGCUUGAACCAGAAUUAUGGAUAAAGAUCAUUUGGAUGUUUGCCUAACAUUUUUUUUCCCUCAUGUAAAAUAUAGCGCUAUAAACCAGGCUAUUUUGAGACUUACAACUACAUUGAAUUGUUUUGUAACAUAACUCUCAGAAAUCCUACAUGUAGUGCUGGGAAACACCACACCCCUCCCAAAGACAGGAAAAGAAGAACCUGAAAAGUUAUGGUUUAAUCAGUCUAAUUUUAUAUUUAAAAAGUUACUAGGACAAAUUAUGAGCUGUUCAUUUAAGAGCUCACAUUUAGCCUGGCAGUACAAUUAGAAGGGUGAAGCCAAAGUGAAGAAAGAAACACUACGGAAAAUGCCGUAGGAAAAAGAAAUUGUAAGAAAAAAACAUAAAUAAUGACAAAUAAGCAAACCACUAGCCUUGCCUGGAUUGGUAGAAGGUGCUGGAAUGGAAAUUUUUAAUUCUUGUGUUCGUUUAAUAUUAUAUUACAAAGCAUCAGUAUUGAUAAAGCUUUCUUAUAUUACUGUAUUAUAAAACACUGUGAGGAGUCUUAGCAGUUUAUGUAUUAAAGAGUAUAUAAAAAUUAAUUUGAACUCCACUGUCUAUUAUUUACAUUUUAUUUGAUAUUAUAGGAUUUCUAUGCUGAACGGCUGCCUUAACUUCAUAGGUAUUUGCCCUUUUAGAGGAGGAUGAACACAGCAAAAGUAAUCAUGUAGACCUGGCACCAAGGAAAAGUGAUGGCAUUCAUAAAUGUGCCCAUUCACAGUGUGAGAAAUGGGCUGAGUUUUGCUUCAGCUAAUUGAUACGGUUUUUGCCAGAGGAGGCUCGGUGAUAGUGGAGUCUCAUCCAUUACACCCAACUAAUCCUUAGAAAUGCCCUGGGGCU
rnacentral:lncRNA from 1 species